CCAUGCCGCGUGCAGGAUGAAGGCGCUCUGCGUUGUAAACUGCUUUUGUACGGGAAGAAUAUUCGUUUGCGAACGGUUUUGACGGUACCGUAAGAAUAAGGAUCGGCUAACUACGUGCCAGCAGCCGCGGUAAUACGUAGGAUCCAAGCGUUGUCCGGAUUUAUUGGGUUUAAAGGGUGCGCAGGCGGCCUGAUAAGUCAGUGGUGAAAGCCCGUUGCUUAACAACGGAACUGCCAUUGAUACUGUCGGGCUUGAGUACAGUUGAGGUUGGCGGAAUGUAUCAUGUAGCGGUGAAAUGCUUAGAUAUGAUACAGAACACCGAUUGCGAAGGCAGCUGACUAAGCUGUUACUGACGCUCAGGCACGAAAGCGUGGGGAUCAAACAGGAUUAGAUACCCUGGUAGUCCACGCCGUAAACGUUGAUAACUCGAUGUUGGCGAUAUACUGUCAGCGUCUUAGCGAAAGCGUUAAGUUAUCCACCUGGGGAGUACGCCGGCAACGGUGAAACUCAAAGGAAUUGACGGGGGCCCGCACAAGCGGUGGAGCAUGUGGUUUAAUUCGAUGAUACGCGAGGAACCUUACCUGGGCUUAAUUGGGAUUGGACAGUUGCAGAAAUGCGAUCUCCUUCGGGGCUGAUUUCAGGUGCUGAUGCUGUCGUCGUCUGCGUGAGUUGU
rnacentral:rRNA from 1 species